CACUCCUAGUUUCUAAUCAGUCUCAGACAAAUCUUUCGCCUUUUUACUAAGAUUUCCGUGGUUAAGAAACACUGAUGAGUCUAUAUGACUUAUUUUCGAACGCCUGGUCUUUGGGCGGGCA